ACAGGGUGACAGGUGGUGCAUGGUUGUCGUCAGCUCGUGUCGUGAGAUGUUCGGGUUAAGUCCCGCAACGAGCGCAACCCUCGACCUUAGUUGCCAGCAUUCAGUUGGGCACUCUAAGGUGACUGCCGGCUAAAAGUCGGAGGAAGGUGGGGAUGACGUCAAAUCAUCAUGCCCCUUAUGACCUGGGCUACACACGUGCUACAAUGGGCGGUACAAAGGGUCGCGAACCCGCGAGGGGGGAGCCAAUCCCAAAAAGCCGCUCUCAGUUCGGAUUGCAGGCUGCAACUCGCCUGCAUGAAGCCGGAAUCGCUAGUAAUCGCGGAUCAGCAUGCCGCGGUGAAUACGUUCCCGGCCUU
rnacentral:rRNA from 1 species